rnacentral:rRNA from 1 species
GAUGAACGCUAGCGAUAGGCCUAACACAUGCAAGUCGAGCGGGCAAUUUAUCUAGCACUGAUUACUUCAAAUGGCUAUCGCCAGUGUAAUCAUGAAUUUCUACCUUAUUAAUAAAGAAAGAGAAAUUCAUGUACGCAAAUAGUGAUAACACAUUUUAGUGAAGUGAUGAGUGCUGGAUAAAUUGCUAGCGGCGGACGGGUGCGUAACACGUGGGUAACCUGCCCCUAUCACUGGGAUAACACACUGAAAAGUGUGCUAAUACCAGAUAAUAUAAGCUUUUGGCAUCAUUAGCUUAUCAAAGAAUUUCGGAUAGGGAUGGGCCCGCGUCUGAUUAGCUAGUUGGUGAGGUAACGGCUCACCAAGGCAACGAUCAGUAGCCGACCUGAGAGGGUGAUCGGCCACACUGGAACUGAGACACGGUCCAGACUCCUACGGGAGGCAGCAGUGGGGAAUAUUGCACAAUGGGCG